rnacentral:rRNA from 1 species
GACGAACGCUGGCGGCGUGCUUAACACACGCAAGUCGAGCGGUAAGGCCCUUUCGGGGGUACACGAGCGGCGAACGGGUGAGUAACACGUGGGUGACCUGCCCUUAGCUCUGGGAUAAGCCUGGGAAACUGGGUCUAAUACCGGAUAUGACUCCAUGACGCAUGUUGUGGGGUGGAAAGCCUUGUGCGGCUAGGGAUGGGCCCGCGGCCUAUCAGCUUGUUGGUGGGGUGAUGGCCUACCAAGGCGACGACGGGUAGCCGGCCUGAGAGGGCGACCGGCCACACUGGGACUGAGACACGGCCCAGACUCCUACGGGAGGCAGCAGUGGGGAAUCUUGCGCAAUGGGCGAAAGCCUGACGCAGCGACGCCGCGUGGGGAUGACGGCCUCGGU